CCGCCUACAAUGAAAUUUGCGAAGUUUUUUCGGUUUCGGCGCCAUUUUCGAGUGGACUCGGAGGAGUCGGCAUUCCAGAUCUGUCCUUUGUUGUUUAAAACUGGAUGAGAUGACAAUGCAAAAAAAAAUGGAAGUAACAAGAAGCAUCAUACUUUUCCUCUUCUCAGCAGUGUUGAUCAAAAACUGUGGAUCCUGGAGUGUCACUGUGGAUUUUACUGAUUUUCUGGAGUACUUUCCCAUUGAAGCAGUGAUUGCCUUGUGCCCAGGGAGAGUCUGGGCAGGAGGAGCCAAUGCAUUCAGAGGUGAGUUGGGAAGGUAAGCUCAUGUGUCCCACCUGCUCUGACAUACCUGCACUAUCUGCAUCCCUCUGCAUAAAGGCAGGUUCCUCUGAUGUGCAUAUCCCUUCCUGGGCACUGCAGGUGACAACCUCAGAAAGGUUGACAUAAACUGUAAUUAUCCUAUUCAGGGGCCAUCUAUCUGAUUUGACACUGAGAAUCCAAAGCAUAAGCUAAGUUUGAGAGAAGCUGAAGUGUGAGGUGGGAUGAUUCAAACACUGUGCUUUCUGUUGCUUAAAGUAAUUAUGUUGUCAUGUCAGAAACACACGUUUGCUCAAGUAUGUAUUUCACUGCCUAUCCCAAAUUUCCACUUGACCAGUAAGUACUCAGUACUUCUCUCUGCUAGAGAGUGGGCUGGAGGAGGUGCACUGAGCCCUCACUGUGGAAAGUCCUCACUAAAGAGACCUCUUGCCCCCUUGUCAGACUAGGCUAAGGUCUAAUUUAUAUAUGGAUAUAAAAACAUGAAACAUGAACCUCAAUCAAAAUGGAUUCUAGAGCCGA